GCUUUGGUGUAGUGGUGUAGUCUUUGUGAUUUUAGCAACCAAGGGGUCCCGGGUUCGAAUCCCGGCGAUGAGCA